AAAUAAUUAUUUAGUAAGCAUUUAUCAGGGCCAUAAAGUUAUGUGAUAAAAAAAAAUCAUGCUAGCUCCAUAAUCAUUCAUUAGCCCUGUCAGAGGACAAGAAGUGAAAAAAAAAACCUUUAGCUGUACGCUUUUAUGUACUUUUUACUGUAAUCUUGUUAACAAAAGAUGGCAAACCAUGUCCCUCAUACACCAGCUGAUUCUCUCUCUGUGUGUUUGUGUGGGAGUGGAGGCCGCAGGGUUUAGUGGGCUUCAGGUGUGUGUGGACACAGGGGUACCAGUGGACUCUGAGCUCAUAAGACAGUGGGUAAAUGAAGUGCUGGCUGAAACCGCUGCAGUAAUGCUGGGACAGAGAGAGAUGCAGAUAGCGCCCGAUGCCCCUGUCUAAACACAGCUGGUGUCUACAGUACCAACACCAGCAUCCACUCCUGAGCCAGACUCGACAGAGCUGCUGUCAGAACCCCUGAUCUUUUCAAGCGUCUUUCUUCAGCUUUUUCUUCCAAUGAAAACCAUCAGGGAUCUGCUUUAUCAAGUCUGACAGUCCAGAUAGGUUUCCUGUGGGCACACCGGCUACCAGACCAAUCCCACCCACACCACGAUGGCCACACCCUCACCUCCUCCAGCCAAUCAGAGCCCAGAUUCAGCCAGCCUGCAGAACCACCCGUGGGGAGGACCAGAGCUCCCCCUGGAGGAGGAAGAACCGCACAGCGAGAGGCAGAAACAGCCUUCAGCAUCAGUUGUGACGUCAGUAGCCCAAGAGAGUGAUGAGGAAGAAUCAGUCAUCCAUUCAUUUCCACCUCUCCCCUCCAAACCCAAGACUUCCUCACCUCCUCUUCCUCCUGUGAGCCAGGAACCUCCUCCUUCUGCCCCCCUCGAAUCCUUCUCUUCCUCGCACUACACAGAAGAGAGUUAGUCUAGUUCUAUAGUGAGACAGUCACGGAGACACAGAUGCCAGCCAGUCACACAUCUCAGGGAGAGCUGCGGCUCACUAACAGCCAGAUGGAGGCAGUCAGAGGUACACGAUCGGUCCAACACACACUCACACAGCCAGACUGAUCCAAAACCACACUGGGCUGCAGAAGCAGCUGCCCUCUAAGGACAAAAUGGAUGAGGAAGGAGUCCUUCUGUCUAAUGUGAUGACCAGCCUGAACAGUUCCCUGCAUGGAGUCCAAGAUAUGGUAAUUUAUUAAGCGAAAAGUGGAAUGAAAUAAUAAGA